GCCAUGCCGCGUGAAGGAAGACGGCCUUAUGGGUUGUAAACUUCUUUUAUACAGGAAGAAACCUUUCCACGUGUGGAAAGCUGACGGUACUGUAAGAAUAAGGAUCGGCUAACUCCGUGCCAGCAGCCGCGGUAAUACGGAGGAUCCAAGCGUUAUCCGGAAUUAUUGGGUUUAAAGGGUCCGCAGGCUGUUUGUUAAGUCAGAGGUGAAAUCCUACCGCUCAACGGUAGAACUGCCUUUGAUACUGGCAAACUUGAGUUAUUGUGAAGUAGUUAGAAUGUGUAGUGUAGCGGUGAAAUGCAUAGAUAUUACACAGAAUACCGAUUGCGAAAGCAGAUUACUAACAAUGUACUGACGCUGAGGGACGAAAGCGCGGGUAGCGAACAGGAUUAGAUACCCUGGUAGUCCACGCCGUAAACGAUGGUCACUAGCUGUUUGAUGUACAUUGGUACAUUGAGUGGCUAAGCGAAAGUGAUAAGUGACCCACCUGGGGAGUACGCUCGCAAGAGUGAAACUCAAAGGAAUUGACGGGGGCCCGCACAAGCGGUGGAGCAUGUGGUUUAAUUCGAUGGUACGCGAGGAACCUUACCAGGACUUAAAUGUAAGUUGCAUGAUUCAGAAAUGGAUCUUUCUUCGGACUACUUACAAGGUGCUGCAUGGUUGUCGUCAGCUCGUGCCGUGAGGUGUCAGGUUAAGUCCUAUAACGAGCGCAACCCCUAUCGUUAGUUGCCAUCAAGUAAAGUUGGGAACUCUAGCGAAACUGCCGGUGCAAACCGUGAGGAAGGUGGGGGUGACGUCAAAUCAUCACGGCCCUUACGUUCUGGGCUACACACGUGCUACAAUGGCCGGUACAGAAAGCAGCCACUAUGCGAAUAGGAGCUAAUCUUCAAAGCCGGUCUCAGUUCGGAUCGCAGUCUGCAACUCGACUGCGUGAAGCUGGAAUCGCUAGUAAUCGGAUAUCAGCCAUGAUCCGGUGAAUACGUUCCCGGGCCUUGUACACACCGCCCGUCAAGCCAUGGAAGCUGGGGGUACCUAAAGUCGGUGACCGAAAGGAGCCGCCUAGGGUAAAACUAGUAACUGGGGCUAAGUCGUAACAAGGUAGCCGUACCGGAAGGUGCGGCUGGAAUACCUCCUUUCU
rnacentral:rRNA from 1 species